AAACAAAAAAAUCUAAAUAGUAAAGCUUACUCUUUUUCAUAUAUAAGGCAAGCAAGAACAGAGAACAUUGCUAUAUUUUGCCAUGAAUACUAAGGAUAACUUUAAAUUGCUACUUAAAAUAUGUUAAAGUUGUAUAUCCAAGAUUUUCACCUUUCGCAGGGAGUUCUGGAACGCAACCCACGCUCUCGAAGAGGGAUCACUGUACAAUAUUCUUGUGACUGGGUGACCUACGUGAUUAAGGUACUAUUUGUCACAUGGUAAGGAUACAAAGGGACAAAGUGGCGGAGAGCAUUUGGCACCACUGAAGAUCUAACUGACAUGGCAGAAGCAAGUCUGAUGAAGACAAACAGUCGUUUUGGGGCCACACACCAGCAAUCAGUGUAAAGGGCCUAAUUCCAAUUCUCUGCAUCUCUCUCUCUCACCCGGAUUGUUAUACUAUUACUGAGUGCCCUCCAACGUGUCCCUGUCUGCAUUUGACAAGUGAACACAGUGAAUGUGUGAGAUAAGGAGAAUAAUUUAAUAUUUUAUCUAUUUAUAAUUACAUUUUCUGUAUGUAGUUGUGUUUUAUUCUAUGUAUUUCCUUUCAGCUAUGCCAUUUAUAAGCAUUGAAAUAAAGAAAAUGUUACAGCGCUGAUAACAUGUAAUAUGUAGUUUGGCAAGGCCAUGGUUGCAUCUGUCCAUUUUAUAGAUUUUUUGUCUUGUCAUAACAACUACUGACAUAGUAUUUACAUUGCAGUAGGUAAU